rnacentral:misc_RNA from 1 species
UACGGAGGGUGCGAGCGUUAAUCGGAAUUACUGGGCGUAAAGCGCGCGUAGGUGGCUUGAUAAGCCGGUUGGGAAAGCACCGGGUUCAACCUGGGAACGGCAUCCGGAACUGUGAGGCUAGAGUGCAGGGGAGGAAGGUAGAAUUCCCGGUGUAGCGGUGAAAUGCGUAGAGAUCGGGAGGAAUACCAGUGGCGAAGGCGGCCUUCUGGACUGACACUGACACUGAGGUGCGAAAGCGUGGGUAGCAAACAGG